rnacentral:rRNA from 1 species
ACGGCAGCAUAGGUGCUUGCACCUGAUGGCGAGUGGCGAACGGGUGAGUAAUGCAUCGGAACGUGCCCAGUCGUGGGGGAUAACGCAGCGAAAGCUGUGCUAAUACCGCAUACGAUCUAUGGAUGAAAGCGGGGGACCUUCGGGCCUCGCGCGAUUGGAGCGGCCGAUGUUAGAUUAGGUAGUUGGUGAGGUAAAGGCUCACCAAGCCUACGAUCUAUAGCUGGUCUGAGAGGACGACCAGCCACACUGGAACUGAGACACGGUCCAGACUCCUACGGGAGGCAGCAGUGGGGAAUUUUGGACAAUGGGCGAAAGCCUGAUCCAGCAAUACCGCGUGCAGGAAGAAGGCCUUCGGGUUGUAAACUGCUUUUGUACGGAACGAAACGGUCUGGAUUAAUACUCUGGGCUAAUGACGGUACCGUAAGAAUAAGCACCGGCUAACUACGUGCCAGCAGCCGCGGUAAUACGUAGGGUGCAAGCGUUAAUCGGAAUUACUGGGCGUAAAGCGUGCGCAGGCGGUUUUGUAAGACAGGCGUGAAAUCCCCGGGCUCAACCUGGGAAUUGCGCUUGUGACUGCAAGGCUAGAGUACGGUAGAGGGGGGUAGAAUUCCGCGUGUAGCAGUGAAAUGCGUAGAUAUGCGGAGGAACACCGAUGGCGAAGGCAGCCCUCUGGACCUGUACUGACGCUCAUGCACCAAAGCGUGGGGAGCAAACAGGAUUAGAUACCCUGGUAGUCCACGCCCUAAACGAUGUCAACUGGUUGGUUGGAAUUUACUUUCUCAGUAACGAAGCUAACGCGUGAAGUUGAACGCCUGGGG